GAUGAACGCUGGCGGCGUGCCUAAUACAUGCAAGUCGAGCGAACAGACGAGGAGCUUGCUCCUCUGACGUUAGCGGCGGACGGGUGAGUAACACGUGGAUAACCUACCUAUAAGACUGGGAUAACUUCGGGAAACCGGAGCUAAUACCGGAUAAUAUAUUGAACCGCAUGGUUCAAUAGUGAAAGACGGUUUUGCUGUCACUUAUAGAUGGAUCCGCGCCGCAUUAGCUAGUUGGUAAGGUAACGGCUUACCAAGGCGACGAUGCGUAGCCGACCUGAGAGGGUGAUCGGCCACACUGGAACUGAGACACGGUCCAGACUCCUACGGGAGGCAGCAGUAGGGAAUCGUCCGCAAUGGGCGAAAGCCUGACGGAGCAACGCCGCGUGAGUGAUGAAGGUCGUCGGAUCGUAAAACUCUGUUAUUAGGGAAGAACAAAUGUGUAAGUAACUAGGCACGUCUUGACGGUACCUAAUCAGAAAGCCACGGCUAACUACG
rnacentral:rRNA from 1 species